AAAAGGUGUAACUAUCCUGCUGAUGCUGUACCUACAGCUUGCACCCAGAAAGAGAAUAAAGCCAUGUUGCAACUGCCUACGAUUCCUCAAGCGGUCUUUCAGCUACCUGCCACUCACACACCCACUCUCCUUGGACCUCAGCUUGGGCUAGAACCUGACACUUGGCAUAGUUGGCAGGAUCCCGAGAUUUAGAAGCAGUGGCACCCCUCUUGCAGCAACAUUUGGCAGCAUGUAGUUGGGCUGUCAACAAAUCCAAGGUCCAAGAAAUCCAAGGUCCAAGGUCCAAGGGCCUAGAUUAUCUGCCAAAUUCUUGGGAGCUAUCUGGUCAGCCUAUCAAUCAAGACCACAUCCUUUCAAAAGCUUAUAGAGCAGAAGUAGACUCCUACCACGCGUUCAGCUGGUGUCCUUUGACUGCUGCUUUGCUCAGUUCCACCUUGGAUGGCUUGCACUGCAUUUAACGUUUCUCUGGGCCAGGAAUCCAGGCACACUUGGCUGGGCCCUUUGACUUUCAAGGUGACAUCAGGGCAUGGACUCACAACAUGCAUUUCAUCAGAACAGCAAGUAAGGAGAACCAGAAAGAGAGAAUGCUAUCAAGAUGGAAGUAACCAUCACUUACAACCUAAUCUCAGAAGUAAAUCCAUCACUUGAGCCAUAUUUUAUUGUUAGAAGUGAGUCACUGUUUCUAGCCAACACAUUUAAGAGGAGGAGAUUAUAGCGGGGCAGGAAUACCAGGAGGCGUGGAUCGUUGGGACCCAGCUUAGAAGGUUCACAACCACACUGUCUGAUGAAUUCUUGGUGCUCUAAACCUGAUUUUAUCCACCUCUCUGAAGGAGAUUCUGAGGGUCAGCUACAAUAUGGCAUUGGGUGUUUUAGUGUGUUAACGUCUUAAAUUUACACUUUAUCUUUUACAUGCAUGUUAAAAGCUUAAAGGUAACCUGUAAAAUACUUGAAAUAUAAUAAAAAAUGUCAAGACUGUAACACAGAUACUGAGUUGCCAUAUAGGGUUUUGAACUUCACACUACAUCCUAUUUUCUUAUCCCAGAGCCAUAUAGAGAAAGUCCAAAACCAAUCCAGUUUUAUAUAUUGAAAUUUUUUUAGGAUGAUCAAUGGAACAGCUAAAUGACUAGUUGUGAAUGGCUUCAGACAACUUUUUUGUAUAUGCA
rnacentral:lncRNA from 10 species